rnacentral:tRNA from 1 species
GGUUGCUCAGUGGUUAAGCACUCAGCUGCUAACUGAAAGAUCGGCGGUUCGAACCCACCAGCCA